AUUGAACGCUGGCGGCAGGCUUAACACAUGCAAGUCGAGCGGAGAUGAGGUGCUUGCACCUUAUCUUAGCGGCGGACGGGUGAGUAAUGCUUAGGAAUCUGCCUAUUAGUGGGGGACAACAUUCCGAAAGGAAUGCUAAUACCGCAUACGUCCUACGGGAGAAAGCAGGGGAUCUUCGGACGUUGCGCUAAUAGAUGAGCCUAAGUCGGAUUAGCAAGGUGGUGGGUUAAAGGCCUACCAAGGAGACGAUCUGUAGCGGGUCUGAGAGGAUGAUCCGCCACACUGGGACUGAGACACGGCCCAGACUCCUACGGGAGGCAGCAGUGGGGAAUAUUGGACAAUGGGGGGAACCCUGAUCCAGCCAUGCCGCGUGUGUGAAGAAGGCCUUAUGGUUGUAAAGCACUUUAAGCGAGGAGGAGGCUACUGAGACUAAUACUCUUGGAUAGUGGACGUUACUCGCAGAAUAAGCACCGGCUAACUCUGUGCCAGCCGCCGCCGUAAGAC
rnacentral:rRNA from 1 species